UGUAAACAAAAACAAACAAAUAAAUACCUAGCUAAAAACCAUUUAAUUUAAAGCUUUUUGUGCUUAAAUGGAUGAGCAAAACGCAGUGCUUGGGAAAUAAUAAAAUAGCGCUUACAGGGACUUCUUUUACUCAAUUUUCUACCGUUAUAGUUAAACCAAUUUUUACAGGCAUAAACAACCUACAGUCAAAAGACACUUUAAAAAGGCUUUAGCGCAUAUGGGGCUCAAUAGAUUACACACACACUGAUUUGUACCUUGGAACGCAAAUAUUGGGGAGAUUCUGGACAGCAGAUCCAGAACCUGGAAGAGUAUUAAAGGGUGUAGCAGAAGCCUGGACACAUCUAAGGGAAGAAGAUUGGUAAGAGAGUAGUAAAGAGGAGGAAGGAUACACCUUUUAGAGUCCUCAUUGAGGAAGAGAGACCGGAGACCUACGCUAACAUACGUGAUCCUAGCGGUGUCGUUUAAGGUGCUCUCCACGUCAGCCCAACCGUUUUCCGUGACGACAAUUUCGUUGACUCCAUCGUACUGGUUCCAGACGUAAU